AUAGAUUAUAGCUGGGGGACCCGCAGCAGUGUCCUUCAGUUUAAAAAGGAGUGAAUGUAUGUGGUUAUUUUCAUCUCCGUCAGAAGUUUGGUAAAACGUAAACACUGGUGUAAAGUGUCUGUAACUCCAAAACUUUUUGUGUUGACACAUUAAACUGCAGUCCAAUUUU